UACGUAGGUGGCGAGCGUUGUCCGGAAUUACUGGGUGUAAAGCGCGCGUAGGCGGGAGGCCAAGUCCGCUGUGAAAUCGCCCGGCUCAACUGGGCGCGGUCGGUGGAAACUGGUCACCUGGAGGACGGUAGAGGCGAGUGGAAUUCCCGGUGUAGUGGUGAAAUGCGUAGAGAUCGGGAGGAACACCAGUGGCGAAGGCGGCUCGCUGGGCCGGCCCUGACGCUGAGGCGGCGAAGGCGUGGGGAGCG
rnacentral:rRNA from 1 species